rnacentral:rRNA from 1 species
GACGAACGCUGGCGGCGUGCUUAACACAUGCAAGUCGAGCGGUAAGGCCCUUCGGGGUACGACGAGCGGCGAACGGGUGAGUAACACGUGGGUGACCUGCCCUCCACUUCGGGAUAAGCCUGGGAAACCGGGUCUAAUACCGGAUAGGACCUCUGGAUGCAUGUCUGGUGGUGGAUAGUCUGUGUCUUGACUGAUGCUGGCGGU